rnacentral:rRNA from 1 species
UGCAUGUGAAUAUGCGGAGGAAAAGGAAGACCAACAGCGAUUGCACCUAGGUAAGCGGACGUAGUGAAGCGGCAACGGCUCCAAAUUUGGAAAUCUGGUACCCCUUGCGGGGCCCGGAGUUGUAAUUUGUAGAGGAUGCCUUUUGGGAGUGCCCUUGUCCGAGUUUCCCUGGCAACGGGUACGCCACAGAGGGUGAAGAUGCGCCCGUUAUGGUGGACGCUCGAGAC